UGGAGCAUGUGGUUUAAUUCGAAGCAACGCGAAGAACCUUACCAGGCCUUGACAUGCAGAGAACUUUCCAGAGAUGGAUUGGUGCCUUCCGGGAACUCUGACACAGGUGCUGCAUGGUUGUCGUCAGCUCGUGUCGUGAGAUGUUGGGUUAAGUCCCGCAACGAGCGCAACCCUUGUGUUUAGUUGCAAACAGGUCAAGCUGUGCACUCUAGACAGACUGCCGUGGACAACACGGAGGAAGGUGGGGAUGACGUCAAAUCAUCAUGCCCCUUAUGAUCUGGGCUACACACGUGCUACAAUGGCCGGCACAACGGGCAGCGAAGGAGCGAUCCGGAGCGAAUCCUAAAAAGCCGGUCCCAGUUCGGAUUGCAGGCUGAAACUCGCCUACAUGAAGUUGGAGUUGCUAGUAAUCGCGAAUCAGAAUGUCGCGGUGAAUGCGUUCCCGGGUCUU
rnacentral:rRNA from 1 species